rfam:Gossypium raimondii Chr05_contig_464, whole genome shotgun sequence.
AUUCCAUGAUGAGGGCACUUUCGUAAUAAUUCUUUGUACCUUUCCCAUCCUCAUACAAGGACCCGUCAUCCAUUUGUUGGAAAGUAGUGAUCUCGUUCCUCAACUU